UAAGGGAGCUUGCUCCCGGAUGUUAGCGGCGGACGGGUGAGUAACACGUGGGUAACCUGCCUUUAAGACUGGGAUAACUCCGGGAAACCGGAGCUAAUACCGGAUAGUUCCUUGAACCGCAUGGUUCAAGGAUGAAAGACGGUUUCGGCUGUCACUUACAGAUGGACCCGCGGCGCAUUAGCUAGUUGGUGAGGUAACGGCUCACCAAGGCGACGAUGCGUAGCCGACCUGAGAGGGUGAUCGGCCACACUGGGACUGAGACACGGCCCAGACUCCUACGGGAGGCAGCAGUAGGGAAUCUUCCGCAAUGGACGAAAGUCUGACGGAGCAACGCCGCGUGAGUGAUGAAGGUUUUCGGAUCGUAAAGCUCUGUUGUUAGGGAAGAACAAGUGCAAGAUUAACUGCUUGCACCUUGACGGUACCUAACCAGAAAGCCACGGCUAACUACGUGCCAGCAGCCGCGGUAAUACGUAGGUGGCAAGCGUUGUCCGGAAUUAUUGGGCGUAAAGGGCUCGCAGGCGGUUUCUUAAGUCUGAUGUGAAAGCCCCCGGCUCAACCGGGGAGGGUCAUUGGAAACUGGGAAACUUGAGUGCAGAAGAGGAGAGUGGAAUUCCACGUGUAGCGGUGAAAUGCGUAGAGAUGUGGAGGAACACCAGUGGCGAAGGCGACUCUCUGGUCUGUAACUGACGCUGAGGAGCGAAAGCGUGGGUAGCGAACAGGAUUAGAUACCCUGGUAGUCCACGCCGUAAACGAUGAGUGCUAAGUGUUAGGGGGUUUCCGCCCCUUAGUGCUGCAGCUAACGCAUUAAGCACUCCGCCUGGGGAGUACGGUCGCAAGACUGAAACUCAAAGGAAUUGACGGGGGCCCGCACAAGCGGUGGAGCAUGUGGUUUAAUUCGAAGCAACGCGAAGAACCUUACCAGGUCUUGACAUCCUCUGACAACCCUAGAGAUAGGGCUUUCCCUUCGGGGACAGAGUGACAGGUGGUGCAUGGUUGUCGUCAGCUCGUGUCGUGAGAUGUUGGGUUAAGUCCCGCACGAGCGCACCCUGAUCUAGUGCCAGCAUUCAGUUACCG
rnacentral:rRNA from 1 species